GGAACAUUGCCGUUUUUUUGUAGUACAGUAUCUAAAAUGAGGAAGAAAAUCCUAUUUGGAACAACAUGAGUGUUUUUCGAUAAAUAGAAAAAUUUCACUAAAUAAAGCAUUUUAUCUGAUGUACUACAGUCCUGCAGUGUUUGCAUACCUGACUAUAUCCACACUGAUCUCAAUAAAUCACACAGUCUGAAUUGUUCUGUAUAUUUUGAAAUCAAUUGUUAGCCUACAACAUGAUACAUGAUUUCUCAACUCUCAAUCAUUUCAUUUUUCAACUCCUGCAUAACUUAGCAUUGCAGCUCAGGUUCUUGACGACUCUGUGAAUUAGACCGACUGACAUCAGUAAAAUUGUUCACUUUCCCCUGUUUCACACAAACGGACAUUAUUUUCUGAAUCCACCUACAGCUGACCAAGUUUUUAUUGUUACGUCAUACGGAAGUCUGCGUUCAUUGGCCAUUGUUAUCGGAUAAGCAGAGAAUAUAGGACAGAUAGUACCACAUAUUUCUUAGUCAAGGCAACCCCGUGUAACUUCCGAUAAUCGCUCCCGAUCCCGAUGUAGGAUUUACCGUCACGCCCGACUAGGCGCAGACAGAUUAUUGCUUCCAAAAUCAUCGUGCGUUUUCCUGUGUUCUGACGGCGUUGUCUCACGACAAGAUUAAGUAAGUGGCUUUAUAAACAUUCAAAUUAGUUGUGCAUCAACAUUAAUAAAGAUUUUAUUAUAGAAGAGCAAUCAUUUGAGAGGGAAGGCCCUGGAACCAGUCUUAGCACUUGAAAGCAUGUUGACAAAUGACAGUAAGAUCUGAAGAUUUUAAAUUCACUUCAAGGCUCCAAUGAGUAGAUGUAGUAGAGAAUCACUUUGUGCUACGAUUGUUCAGCAUAAAAAUGGGAAGUUGUGAAUGUCCUAGGUAGCCAAUACAGUAAUGAUUUGUCAAGGAAUGUAAAUUUUGAUAAGAGAUCAAGAUAUUAUGCAACCUAAUAUGUAUAUUUUCAGGAAGAAAAGGAUCAUAUAAAAGUUGCAGUGUGAGGAUUUAUACUGUGUAUCAGUAAGCAAGGAUAUAAAUUGACUAAUAGGUGAUGAUUUAUCUCAAAAAUCAGAAUCAACUUACACGUUACAGCCAUAUCAAUGAAAAUUUUUGAUUGAGGAACUAAAACUUUCGGCAAAAAAGAUAUGUGGUGAACGAUACCACCCUGAAAUUGUAAGACUGCUCGAAACUCACUUUUGAAGAAUGAUUUGCUGUCACCAUAUGGGGUUUUGGCUUGGAAACACAUCUAGAGGGAAUUUAUGAAGAUAUGUCUAAAAACAUUUGAAACAGCCAUGUAAACUAACAGACCAACAUGUUUAAUUCAAUAGCUUGACAAAAAUGUCUGUUAAAUAUUCAGCACAGGUUCUUCCUGCAUCUGUUGCUGAGAUUUUGGAAAUGUCUGAAUUUGAAGCAACUGCCAAGUAUUGCAAACUGCAGAAUACCUUUCUUGGCAUAUGCAGCAGCACUACAAACGUGGCCUACCUUAAAAACGGAAAUCUACUCCCUCUGAAACAUCUGGAGACAAAAGACUGCAGUGAAUCAGCCAAAAUUUCAUAAAUUAUUUUACACACUGAGAGUGUACAACAGGUUGAGGGGCUGAGAAUCCAUCGGUGCUCCAGUUCACAUAUAAUGAGAAGUUGAUUGAAAAGCAGCAAUCACUCAAAGAAAUAUGUGGCAAUUUGCAUGUGAUAGAAUCUAAAUUGCCUCUUUACCCCCACUAAGAACCACUCCCAAAGCCUCAAAAAACAUCAAUACCACUAUUAACAUUACUCGAAAUUCAAUGUUUAAUCACCUUAAUAAUUAAAAUAUUAAUUUGUAUUUCUAUGGAUUUUUGAGAAGAAAAACUUGGGUACUCCAGAAGUACGUGUACCAAGAUGCGGAUAAUGGAA